GUAUAAUUAGACAACGAUGGGUUAGUCCCUAUUAAUUAAAAAUUUGUUUCUUUUUAAUAGGGACUAACCCAUCGUUGUCUAAUUAUACAAC
rnacentral:pre_miRNA from 1 species